UGGCUUGUAAUAACCUAUAAUGAAAAAGAAUAUGAAAAGUAAUAUGUGGAUGUAUAACUGAAUCACCAUGUUGUACGUGAGAAACUAACACAACAUUGUAAAUGAACAAAAACUCAACUCAAAGCAGGAUUUCUCAGUCUGGGUACUAUUGACAUUUGGGGGCCAGAUAAUUCUUCGUGUGUGGGGCUGUUCUAGACAUUGUAGGAUAUUAGGAGCACCCCUGGCCUCUACCCACUCGAUGCCAGUAGCAACUCUUAGUUCUGACAACCACAAGUGUCUCUAGCUAUUGCCAAAUACCCCCUGGGGGGUAAAAUCUCCCCUGGAUGAGAACCCCUGACUGAUAGGAGGAGAAUACAUUGGAUUUCCUGGGGGAGAAGCUUUCUAGAGGUUGGCAUUUACAGAGACACUAAGUUGGGAAUGAGCAAAUCAUGCUUAGAAAAUGGCAAGAUUCUCUUGGUUGGGAUGGGAAAUACUAGGACAGAAAACUUGUCAAGCUGGGUAAGAGUGGAAUUCUGUUCAUAAAAGGUGGUUUGGAGGCAUCAGUAUGAGUUUGAAAAAUGCAAGUUCUGUGGGAGUAAUAAGUCAUGAAAGUCAAGGGCGGCCUGCUGAUGAAAUAAAGUGACAAAAUGAGCUCCUUUGGGAAUGGGUGGUGCUCCUCAGUGGGCGGGGUGCCUCCUGUCUAGGCCCUUCAUUGGAGCAGUUACAUCCAGGAAACGUAUCUCAGAUUAGACUGAGUGCUCUUCAGGGUCCAGGCAGGUCUUGCCUAGGACAACACCUGACCUGCACAUAGAUGAAGUUCACCCAGUCAGCUCUGAGCUGGGCUGACCUGAGAAGGCUGAAGGAAGAAGCCAACAGAGAAGGCAAAAGUCUCCUAGCUUGUUGGUUUGAUGUAUAUCUUAGAGAUGAUAUCACUUUGCCUUAAGAAGAAAAAAAAAGGCUUUCACCUUGCAACAUCCAAUAGCAUGAACCAGUUUGGUAAACCAUGUGAAUCACUGGAUUAUUCUCUAAUUGAUUUCGUGGUAUUUACAAAAAGGAUCUACUUUCAAAGGAUAAUGUUUAACGCUGGUGAUAUUGUCAUUAUCCAGGAUCCCAGCCUCUUUUCACCAUUUCUAGUCAGUCAUCAACUCUGGAGAGAUGGAAGGAUUCAAGUUCACUGGAAUCCCAGGAAUAGAGAGAAGCCCAACACAGUUAGAUGCAGAAGUGGGAGGGCCAAGAGAAAGUGGAUCUCUCAAGGAUAAAGAGGCCCCAAGCCUGUGUGGUGUUGCUGCCCCAUUUGCCAGCGGGAAAAUCUGAACAUUUAAGAGUGCAUCUCCAGGAGGUAUCUGCCCCCAGCCUGAUGUCUAGCAGCCCGUCGUCUGCAGAACCCACCAGAUCAGCGUCCUUCUCCUGGCUUUGACCGACACCACACCUAUGGUCACUGAAAAAGGUGGGCAGACAGACAUGUUUAUGGUAAUCUCUCUUUCGUCCUUUGGGUAAGGUGUGCUUGGGGUAUGUUUGUCUAUGUGGAUGUGUGUGUGUGUGGAGCGCGCCUGAGUGGGCAAAGAGGAAGAGGGCAAUGUGUACAUCAUUUCUUCGCUGAUGCCUUCCCUGCCCUUCUUGACUGGGCGAUGUUCGCCUCCCCACCCUGAGCACCUUAUUCUCCCCCUCUGCACUGAUCACAGCUUAACUUGCAUUUGGGUGAUGAAUGCUCCUCUCUCUCGCUAGAUCGUAAACGGCACGAGGAAAGAAACCUAGUAUGUUCCCCUGUCCUGUAGCACGCCUAAGGCAUUACUGGUAUUCCAGAAAUAUUUCUUCCAACGGCGUUUCUGGGCGGGACUGGAGAGACCCACCGCCUAUCCGGGCCAGCGCCCGCCCGCGCUGCCCGACCCUAGCAGGCAGUAACGCCCCACCCUCCAACGGCCGGACGAGGCGGAGCCGGGCGGGGCGCUCUCGCGGGGACAGUUCUCCGGCUCGCGUGGGCGCGGCCCGGGGAGGGGGAAACGCUCCGGGGGCGGUGCGGCGCCCGGCCCAGGCCUGGCCAAUGAGCACCGGCCGGCCGGGGCUCGCGGC